rnacentral:rRNA from 1 species
AUUGAACGCUGGCGGCAGGCCUAACACAUGCAAGUCGAACGAGUGGCGGACGGGUGAGUAAUGUCUGGGAAACUGCCCGAUGGAGGGGGAUAACUACUGGAAACGGUAGCUAAUACCGCAUACCAUCGGAUGUGCCCAGAUGGGAUUAGCUAGUAGGUGGGGUAACGGCUCACCUAGGCGACGAUCCCUAGCUGGUCUGAGAGGAUGACCAGCCACAUGGGAACUGAGACACGGUCCAGACUCCUAGGGGAGGCAGCAGUGGGGAAUAUGGCACAAGGGGCGCAAGCCUAAUGCGGCCAUGCCGCGUGGAGGAAGAGGGCCUUCGGGUGUUAAAGUACUUUCAGCGAGGAGGCGUUACUCGCAGAAGAAGCACCGGCUAACUCCGUGCCAGCAGCCGCGUAAUAC